rnacentral:lncRNA from 1 species
AUGACUGCCUUGCCUGGUUCACCAACUACUUUACAGACAGAGUUCAGUGUGUCAAAUCGGAGGGCAUGUUGUCCGGUCCUCUGGCAGUCUCUAUGGGGGUACCACAGGGUUCAAUUCUCUUGGCCGACUCUUUUCUCUGUAUUUAUCAAUGAUGCUGCUCUUGCUGCGGGCGAUUCCCUGAUCCACCUCUACGCAGACGACACCAUUCUGUAUACUUCUGGCCCUUCCUUGGACACUGUGCUAUCUAACCUCCAAACGAGCUUCAAUGCCAUACAACACUCCUUCCGUGGCCUCCAACUGCUCUUAAACGCUAGUAAAACCAAAUGCAUGCUUUUCAACCGUUCGCUGCCUGCACCCGCACGCCCGACUAACAUCACCACCCUGGAUGGUUCCGACCUAGAAUAUGUGGACAUCUAUAAGUACCUAGGUGUCUGGCUAGACUGCAAACUCUCCUUCCAGACUCAUAUCAAACAUCUCCAAUCCAAAAUCAAAUCUAGAGUCGGCUUUCUAUUUCGCAACAAAGCCACCUUCACUCACGCCGCAAAACUUACCCUAGUAAAACUGACUAUCCUACCGAUCCUCGACUUCGGCGAUGUCAUCUACAAAAUAGCUUCCAAUACUCUACUCAGAAAACUGGAUGCAGUUUAUCACAGUGCCAUCCGUUUUGUUACUAAAGCACCUUAUACCACCCACCACUGCGACCUGUAUGCUCUAGUCAGCUGGCCUUCGCUACAUGUUCGUCGCCAGACCCACUGGCUCCAGGUCAUCUACAAGUCUAUGCUAGGUAAAGCUCCACAUUAUCUCAGUUCACUGGUCACGAUGGCAACACCCACCCGUAGCACGCACUCCAGCAGGUGUAUCUCACUGAUCAUCCCUAAAGCCAAAACCUCAUUUGGCCGCCUUUCCUUCCAGUUCUCUGCUGCCUGCGACUGGAACGAAUUGCAUAAAUCUCUGAAGUUGGAGACUUUUAUCUCCCUCACCAACUUUAAACAUCUGCUAUCUGAACAGCUAACCGAUCGCUGCAGCUGUACAUAG